rnacentral:rRNA from 1 species
CAGCAGGCGCGUAAAUUACCCAAUCCUGAUACAGGGAGGUAGUGACAAUAAAUAACAAUGCCGGGCCAUCAUUGGUCUGGCAAUUGGAAUGAGAACAAUUUAAAUCCCUUAUCGAGGAUCAAUUGGAGGGCAAGUCUGGUGCCAGCAGCCGCGGUAAUUCCAGCUCCAAUAGCGUAUAUUAAAGUUGUUGCAGUUAAAAAGCUCGUAGUUGGAUUUGUGGCGUACGGUGUGUUCCGGGCACUUGUUGUCUGAGUAACCUGCUGUUGCCAUCCUUGGGUGGAACCUGUGUGGCAUUAGGUUGUCGUGCAGGGGAUGCCCAUCAUUUACUGUGAAAAAAUUAGAGUGUUCAAAGCAGGCUUAUGCCGUUGAAUAUAUUAGCAUGGAAUAAUGAGAUAGGACUUUUUUGCUAUUUUGUUGGUUUGCGCAAAGAGGUAAUGAUUAAUAGGGACAGUUGGGGGUAUUCGUAUUCCAUUGUCAGAGGUGAAAUUCUUGGAUUUUUGGAAGACGAACUACUGCGAAAGCAUUUACCAAGGAUGUUUUCAUUAAUCAAGAACGAAAGUUAGGGGAUCGAAGAUGAUUAGAUACCAUCGUAGUCUUAACCAUAAACUAUGCCGACAAGGGAUUGGUGGAGUCUCGUUAUGUCUCCAUCAGCACC